rnacentral:rRNA from 1 species
UCGAACGAAAGAGAAAGAGCUUGCUCUUUGAAUUGAGUGGCAAACGGGUGAGUAACACGUAAACACCUGCCUUCAGGAUGGGGACAACAGACGGAAACGACUGCUAAUACCGAAUAAGGCCGCAUGGCGAAAGGUGGCCUUCUUAGCUAUCGCCUGAAGAGGGGUUUGCGUCUGAUUAGCUGGUUGGAGGGGUAACGGCCCACCAAGGCGACGAUCAGUAGCCGGUCUGAGAGGAUGAACGGCCACACUGGAACUGAGACACGGUCCAGACUCCUACGGGAGGCAGCAGUGGGGAAUCUUCCGCAAUGGGCGAAAGCCUGACGGAGCAACGCCGCGUGAGUGAUGACGGCCUUCGGGUUGUAAAACUCUGUGAUCCGGGACGAAGGCAGAGGCGAAGAACAACUGCAUUGACGGUACCGGAAAAGCAAGCCACGGCUAACUACGUGCCAGCAGCCGCGGUAAUACGUAGGUGGCAAGCGUUGUCCGGAAUUAUUGGGCGUAAAGCGCGCGCAGGCGGUUCCCAAGUCCCUCUUAAAAGUGCGGGGCUUAACCCCGUGAUGGGAAGGAAACUGGGAGCUGGAGUAUCGGAGAGGAAAGUGGAAUUCCUAGUGUAGCGGUGAAAUGCGUAGAGAUUAGGAAGAACACCGGUGGCGAAGGCGACUUUCUGGACGACAACUGACGCUGAGGCGCGAAAGCGUGGGGAGCAAACAGGAUUAGAUACCCUGGUAGUCCACGCCGUAAACGAUGGAUACUAGGUGUAG